rnacentral:tRNA from 1 species
GCCUGGGUGGCUCAGUAGGUUGAGCGUCUGACUUCGGCUCAGGUCAUGAUCUUAUGGUUCAUGAGUUCGAGCCCUGUUUUGGGCU